rnacentral:rRNA from 1 species
GUAGGCCUAACACAUGCAAGUCGAACGGCAGCACAGGAGAGCUUGCUCUCUGGGUGGCGAGUGGCGGACGGGUGAGGAAUACAUCGGAAUCUACUCUGUCGUGGGGGAUAACGUAGGGAAACUUACGCUAAUACCGCAUACGACCUACGGGUGAAAGCAGGGGAUCUUCGGACCUUGCGCGAUUGAAUGAGCCGAUGUCGGAUUAGCUAGUUGGCGGGGUAAAGGCCCACCAAGGCGACGAUCCGUAGCUGGUCUGAGAGGAUGAUCAGCCACACUGGAACUGAGACACGGUCCAGACUCCUACGGGAGGCAGCAGUGGGGAAUAUUGGACAAUGGGCGCAAGCCUGAUCCAGCCAUACCGCGUGGGUGAAGAAGGCCUUCGGGUUGUAAAGCCCUUUUGUUGGGAAAGAAAUCCAGCUGGCUAAUACCCGGUUGGGAUGACGGUACCCAAAGAAUAAGCACCGGCUAACUUCGUGCCAGCAGCCGCGGUAAUACGAAGGGUGCAAGCGUUACUCGGAAUUACUGGGCGUAAAGCGUGCGUAGGUGGUCGUUUAAGUCCGUUGUGAAAGCCCUGGGCUCAACCUGGGAACUGCAGUGGAUACUGGGCGACUAGAGUGUGGUAGAGGGUAGCGGAAUUCCUGGUGUA